CGCCAGCAGCCGCGGUAAUACGAAGGGGGCUAGCGUUGUUCGGAAUUACUGGGCGUAAAGCGCACGCAGGCGGUUCGGCCAGUCAGAAGUGAAAGCCCCGGGCUCAACCUGGGAAUAGCUUUUGAUACUGCCGAGCUAGAAUCACGGAGAGGGUAGUGGAAUUCCGAGUGUAGAGGUGAAAUUCGUAGAUAUUCGGAAGAACACCAGUGGCGAAGGCGACUACCUGGCCGUCGAUUGACGCUCAUGUGCGAAAGCGUGGGGAGCAAACAGGAUUAGAUACCCUGGUAGUCCACGCCGUAAACGAUGAGUGCUAGUUGUUGGGGUGCAUGCACCUCAGUGACGCAGCUAACGCGUUAAGCACUCCGCCUGGGGAGUACGGCCGCAAGGUUAAAACUUAAAGGAAUUGGCGGGGGA
rnacentral:rRNA from 1 species